CCCUUAGAUGUUCUGGGCCGCACGCGCGCUACACUGAUGCAUUCAACGAGCCUAUCCUUGACCGACAGGUCCGGGUAAUCUUUGAAUCUGCAUCGUGACGGGGAUAGAUUAUUGCAAUUAUUAAUCUUCAACGAGGAAUGCCUAGUAGGCGCAAGUCAUCAGCUUGCGUCGAUUACGUCGCUGCCCUUUGUACACACCGCCCGUCGCUCCUACCGAUUGGGUGUGCUGGUGAAAUGUUCGGAUCGGCCGUUUGUCGCGGUUUCCGCGUCAUGUGGCUGAGAAGUUCAUUAAACCCUCCCACCUAGAGGAAGGAGAAGUCGUAACA
rnacentral:rRNA from 1 species